rnacentral:tRNA from 1 species
UAGAUUGAAGCCAGUUGUUUAGGGUGCUUAGCUGUUAACUAAGAAUUUAUGGGGUUGGAACCCAUCAAUCUAG